AAGGAGGUAAAGCCGGAGAGACCCUAACCUUCUGUGACCUACCUAUCGUUGCUUCGGCGGACUCGCCCCAGCCCGGACGCGGACUGGACCAGCGGCCCGCCGGGGACCUCAAACUCUUGUAUUCCAGCAUCUUCUGAAUACGCCGCAAGGCAAAACAAAUGAAUCAAAACUUUCAACAACGGAUCUCUUGGCUCUGGCAUCGAUGAAGAACGCAGCGAAAUGCGAUAAGUAAUGUGAAUUGCAGAAUCCAGUGAAUCAUCGAAUCUUUGAACGCACAUUGCGCCCGCCAGCAUUCUGGCGGGCAUGCCUGUUCGAGCGUCAUUUCAACCCUCGACCUCCCCUGGGGGAGGUCGGCGUUGGGGACCGGCAGCACACCGCCGGCCCUGAAAUGGAGUGGCGGCCCGUCCGCGGCGACCUCUGCGUAGUAAUACAGCUCGCACCGGAACCCCGACGCGGCCACGCCGUAAAACACCCAACUUCUUGAACGUUGACCUCGAAUCAGGUAGGACUACCCGCUGAACUUAAGCAUAUCAAUAAGCGGAGGA
rnacentral:rRNA from 1 species